rnacentral:lncRNA from 1 species
AUGUAGAUGAAUUAUUUCUAAAUUUAUAAAAUUUAUCAGAAAUGUAUAAAUUCCUAGAAUUCAACUUAAAAACACGGUUAUAUAGGGCUUUCUCAGUUUGAAUAUGGAUGGAAAUUAUAUCAUCAAGUAAACAUAACUAGUGCACCAUUUGUUAUUUUAUGUGAGACAAAAUAGAACAGUAAAUGACCAUUUCAAAGUUAAUUUGAAAUAUCAUGCAAUGGAAAAUGAAU